rfam:Streptomyces ghanaensis ATCC 14672 supercont1.1 genomic scaffold, whole genome shotgun sequence.
CUUCAGCGAACCCAGCCACAACGGCCGCUCGCGGUGGCGGCCGUAGGCGGCCAGCAGGGCCUGCGCCUC